UACAGAGGCCUCAAGCGUUAGGCGGAAUCACUGGGCUUAAAGCGUGUGCAGGCGGAUCGUUAAGUGCCUUGUGAAAUCCCACGGCUUAACUGUGGAACGGCUGGGCAUACUGGCGGUCUUGAGCCAUCUAGGGGCGACUGGAACAACCGGUGGAGCGGUGAAAUGCGUAGAUAUCGUUUGGAACGCCAAUGGUGAGAACAGGUCGCUGGGGAUGAGCUGACGCUGAGACACGAAAGCCAGGGGAGCAAACGGG
rnacentral:rRNA from 1 species